CGCUGGCGGUAUGCCUUAUACAUGCAAGUCGUACGGGAGUUUUUAACUCAAGUGGCGGACGGGUGAGUAACACGUAAGAAUUUACCUUUAGGAGGGGGAUAACAACUGGAAACGGCUGCUAAUACCCCAUAUGCUUUCGAGUAAAAUGGUUUUCCGCCUAAAGAGAAGCUUGCGGCUGAUUAGCUUGUUGGUAGAGUAAUAGCCUACCAAGGCGACGAUCAGUAUCUGGUUUGAGAGGACGAUCAGACACACUGGAACUGAGACACGGUCCAGACUCCUACGGGAGGCAGCAGUGGGGAAUCUUGGACAAUGGGGGCAACCCUGAUCCAGCCAUGCCGCGUGAGCGAUGAAGGCCUUAGGGUUGUAAAGCUCUUUCACCGGUGAAGAUAAUGACGGUAGCCGGAGAAGAAGCCCCGGCUAACUCCGUGCCAGCAGCCGCGGUAAU
rnacentral:rRNA from 1 species